AUUGAACGCUAGCGGGAUGCUUUACACAUGCAAGUCGAACGGCAGCGCGGACUUCGGUCUGGCGGCGAGUGGCGAACGGGUGAGUAAUGUAUCGGAACGUGCCCAGUAGCGGGGGAUAACUACGCGAAAGCGUAGCUAAUACCGCAUACGCCCUACGGGGGAAAGCAGGGGAUCGUAAGACCUUGCACUAUUGGAUCGGCCGAUAUCGGAUUAGCUAGUUGGUGAGGUAACGGCUCACCAAGGCGGCGAUCCGUAGCUGGUAUGAGAGGACGACCAGCCACAUUGGGACUGAGAUAGGGCGCAGAGUGGUACGGGAGGCAGCAGUGGGAAAUAUUGCACAGUGGUCGGGAGCGUGAUGCAGCAACGCCGCGUGCGGGAUGAAGGCCUGCGGGUUGUGAACCGUUUUCGCCUGUGACGACGUGUGAGUGACGGUAAUUGGUAAAGAAGCACCGGCUAACUACGUG
rnacentral:rRNA from 1 species